GUCGCGAUUUCUAUACAAAGUGAAAUCCUAUAGGUUUUUAGCUUUUGCAUUUAUCUCAACUAACAGAAUUUGAAAGGAAAUUUUAGAUUUUGAAAAGAGAGAUUGUCAUAAAUAUUUACUUUUUUUUUUUAAAGGAUCUCAUAAAUAUUUUCUACUUAACUAGGUAUCUGCCAAUUGUCAAACAAACUCAUCUCUCUUUUUGUGCUGUGCCCUUCUCCUUCUUGCCGCUGCAUCACCGUCCUGGCGCUGAUGUUUUUAUUUGUCCUCUAGGCUCAACAAUGAAGAAAGAGAGAGAGGUUGCAUCUAGAGGUGUGGCAAUCGUCUCACACAUUUUACACUAACGCUAAAGCAGGAUUCCAUGAAAAGAGUUACCCAGUGGAAUCUUGAUUUUACAGAGCAGUGCGCAAGGAGAUAGGACAAUAAAGAAGAUGAACACCCAAUCAGAUUCAUCACUUCUUUCUGCAACCUUCUUGAUGCUGGUAAGUUAUGGAAAGAAAGUGCACAUUUUUAAAAAUUCAUUUAUAUGGAUGAAUUUUCAUUGUUGGAUCAAAACU